rnacentral:rRNA from 1 species
UACGUAGGGCGCAAGCGUUGUCCGGAAUUAUUGGGCGUAAAGAGCUCGUAGGCGGUUUGUCGCGUCUGCUGUGAAAACCUAAGGCUCAACCUUGGGCUUGCAGUGGGUACGGGCAGACUAGAGUGCGGUAGGGGUGACUGGAAUUCCUGGUGUAGCGGUGGAAUGCGCAGAUAUCAGGAGGAACACCGAUGGCGAAGGCAGGUCACUGGGCCGCAACUGACGCUGAGGAGCG